GGGAUGGUCCCACUGAACAACGGCAAUCAGAAGCACACCAUUCAGAUUGGGUCAAAGCUUGAUCAGGUAACCAAAUAUCGUCUCAUCUUCUUUUUGCAAAAAAAUAUGGACAUGUUCACCUAAACUCCAAUAAAUAUGCUAGGCAUCAAUCUGGAGGUGAUGACACAUCGGCUAGGCGUCAACUCGAGCUACAAAUCCAUCAAAUAGAAGAAAAGAAGCUUCAUUCCCAAAUAAUAGAAAGUGAUAGUCGAAGAGGUGGACAAACUACUGG
rnacentral:lncRNA from 1 species